rnacentral:rRNA from 1 species
UUCCGGUUGAUCCUGCCGGAGGCGACCGCUUUGGGAGUUCGAUUAAGCCAUGCGAGUCGUGAGUCUUAGGGACUCGGCAUACUGCUCAGUAACACGUGGAUAACCUGCCCUAUCGUCUGGAAUAACCUCGGGAAACUGAGAAUAAGGCCGGAUAGUUCACAAUGCCUGGAACGGUUUGUGAAUCAAGGUAGGAUGGGUCUGCGGCGUAUCAGGUUGUAGGGGGUGUAAAGGACCCCCUAGCCUUCGACGCGUACGGGUGUUGGGAGACAUAGCCCGGAGAUGGAUUCUGAGACACGAAUCCAGACCCUACGGGGUGCAGCAGGCGCGAAAACUUCACACUGCAGGAAACUGUGAUGAGGGAACUCCUAGUGCAUGCACUAUGUGUAUGUAGAUCCUACUCUUAACAAGUAGAGGGAAAGGGCUGGGAAAGACCGGUGCCAGCCGCCGCGGUAAUACCGGCAGCUCAAGUGGUCGUCGCUUUUAUUGGGCCUAAAACGUCCGUAGCCUGUUUGGUAAAUCUGUGGGUAAAUCAAUCCGCUCAACGGAUUGAAUUCUGCAGAGACUGCCAGACUAGGGACCGGGGGAGGUGUGGGGUACUCGAGGGGUAGGGGUAAAAUCCUGUCAUCCUUCGAGGACCACCAGUUGCGAAGGCGCCACACUGGAACGGAUCCGACGGUCAGGGACGAAGCCUAGGGGCACGAACCGGAUUAGAUACCCGGGUAGUCCUAGGUGUAAACGCUGUGAACUUGGUGUCGGGGGUCCGCAAGGGGUCCCCGGUGCCGGAGUGAAGAUGUUAAGUUCACUGCCUGGGGAGUACGGUCGCAAGGCUGAAACUUAAAGGAAUUGGCGGGGCAGCAC